CUACGGGUCGCAGCAGUGAGGAAUAUUGCACAAUGGGGGGAACCCUGAUGCAGCAACGCCGCGUGGAGGAUGACGCAUUUCGGUGUGUAAACUCCUUUUAUAUGUCAAGAAAAUGACGGUAGCAUAUGAAUAAGCACCGGCUAACUCCGUGCCAGCAGCCGCGGUAAUACGGAGGGUGCAAGCAUUACUCGGAAUCACUGGGCGUAAAGGACGCGUAGGCGGGUUGGAAAGUCAGGUGUGAAAUCCUACAGCUUAACUGUAGAACUGCACUUGAAACUUCUAAUCUAGAGUAUGGGAGGGGGAGAUGGAAUUAGUGGUGUAGGGGUAAAAUCCGUAGAUAUCACUAGGAAUACCUAAAGCGAAGGCGAUCUCCUGGAACAUUACUGACGCUAAGGCGUGAAAGCGUGGGGAGCAAACAGGAUUAGAUACCCGAGUAGUC
rnacentral:rRNA from 1 species